rnacentral:misc_RNA from 1 species
UUGUAUAGAAUUCCAACAACCGCGACGCUUCCAUCAUUGCUUUUGUGGACAAGAUGAAGCUCAACUGCAUACCGUUUGCCGUUCAUAGUAUGCUCAGAAGGCGUAUGCCAAUGCAGUUGACGCAGGGUGUAGUUCUUCCCGUUUAUAAACACAGCACCAGCUUCAUUCUCAAAUCGCAGCUGGAUGUUGUAUCCAUUGUUGAUGAGUGUUGCAUAGGUGGAUUCGUAAUUUCUGUCAAAUGAUUUCAAUGAAGAGUUAUAGACCCAAUAUUCCUUCUGAAUGUUGAUGGGAGACUG